rnacentral:rRNA from 1 species
AUGAAGCUGGAGCCCGGCAUGUCGGCCCUCGUCACCGGCGGCGGCUCCGGCAUUGGGAAGGCGCUUUGCAUUGCUCUGGCGCACAAGGGUCUAUUUGUGACUGUCGUGGAUUUCUCUGAAGAACACGGAGAGCAAGUUGCGUCGUUAGUUCAAAAGAGAAGGAACCAGUUUCAUGGAGAUUCUAAAGUUCCAUCUGCUAUAUUCGUCAAGUGUGAUGUCACUGAUGCAGAUGCUCUUGCUGCUGCUUUUGGGAAACAUGUACACUUGUAUGGUGGAUUAGAUGUCUGCAUCAACUGUGCUGGAUUUGUCAACAAAUCUUUAGUUUAUGAUGAUACAUCAAAUGGAACUAAGACAUGGAGGCGUGCUGUAAAUGUGAACCUUGUUGCUGUUAUUGAUGGUACUCGCAUCGCAACUCAAAUAAUGCGAUCACAGAAGAAGCCCGGUGCCAUACUAAAUUUCGGUUCAGUUGCUGGCUUAUACCCUAUGCACUAUGAGCCCAUCUAUAGUGGGACAAAAGGUGGUGUGAUUAUGUUUACAAGAUCACUUGCUCCAUUAAAACGGCAUGGCAUUCGUGUCAAUGUGAUCUGCCCUGAGUUUGUCCAAACAAAUAUGGGAGAACAAGUAAACCGCAUAUUAGUAGAUGCACUUGGUGGGUUUUUGAAGAUGGAGGAUGUUAUUAAUGGUGCAUUUGAGCUUAUAGAAGAUGAGAGCAAGGCUGGUGCCUGCCUUUGGAUAUCUAAAAGAAGAGGCAUGGUGUACUGGCCAACAUCAGAGGAAGAAAAGAAGUAUUUGGUGUAUGCCACAAAGUCAAAAAUGACAGUAACAAAGAAUAGAUUCCCCAGCAUCCAGACACCUGAAUUCUUUGAGAAGAUAACGGUUCACAUGCUCAGCCAUAAUUUCCGCAAUGCUACAAGAAUUGAUCGUGUGCGGCUGAGAUUGCCCAUGGAACCACAUAGUGCUCUUGUUAAAAUAAUAUACGCUGGUGUAAAUGCUAGUGACGUAAACUUCACUUCUGGCCGUUAUUUCAGUGGUAAUGCUAAAGAAGCUUCUGCACAUCUUCCAUUUGAUGCUGGUUUCGAGGCUGUGGGAAUUGUUGCUUCUGUUGGAGAUUCGGUGAGACAUAUCAAAGUUGGCACUGCUGUGGCCCUUAUGACGUUUGGGAGCUAUGCCGAAUUUACAGUGGUUCCAGCCAAACAUCUCCUUCUGGUGCCAAGACCAGACCCUGAAGUAGUUGCUAUGCUAACAUCAGGACUGACUGCUUCAAUUUCUCUUGAAAAGUCAGGUCAAAUGACAUCCGGACAAGUUGUUUUAGUUACAGCUGCUGCUGGUGGGACAGGACAGUUUGCUGUUCAGCUCGCGAAACUAGCUGGCAACAAGGUUAUUGCCACAUGUGGUGGCGGGAAUAAAGCUGCACUUCUGGCUUCAUUGGGGGUUGAUCGAGUCAUCAACUACCAACAUGAAAAGAUAAAAGAUUAUCAAGGAAAGGAUGGAUGGAUGCCACGGAAUUACUAUGGAUUGUGUGAGAAGAUUCUUGGAAAGAGCCAAACUGUGGCUGGAUUUUUCCUGAUUCAAUAUGCCGACCUGUGGCAAAAACACCUUGACAAGCUUUUUGACCUGCAUGCGUCUGGGAAGUUAAAGGUUUCCCUUGACCCCAAGAAAUUCGUAGGUGUUGCUUCUGUGGCCGACGCAGUAGAACAUCUCCAUUCUGGCAGGAGCGUUGGCAAGGUGGUUGUCUGCAUGGAUCCAGCAUACAGCCAGACCCUUGCUAAGCUAUAG